rnacentral:rRNA from 1 species
UACGUAGGUGGCAAGCGUUGUCCGGAUUUAUUGGGCGUAAAGCGCACGUAGGCGGCUUGGCAAGUCGGAUGUGAAAGCCCUCGGCUCAACCAAGGAAGUGCAUCCGAAACUGCUGAGCUUGAGUACUUAAGAGGAUCGCGGAAUUCCCGGUGUAGAGGUGAAAUUCGUAGAUAUCGGGAGGAACACCAGUGGCGAAGGCGGCGAUCUGGGAAGAUACUGACGCUGAGGUGCGAAAGCGUGGGGAGCAAACAGG